UUUUACAAUGAAGAGUUUGAUCCUGGCUCAGGAUGAACGCUAGCUACAGGCUUAACACAUGCAAGUCGAGGGGCAGCGGGAUUGAAGCUUGCUUCAAUUGCCGGCGACCGGCGCACGGGUGAGUAACGCGUAUCCAACCUUCCGUACACUCAGGGAUAGCCUUUCGAAAGAAAGAUUAAUACCUGAUGGUAU
rnacentral:rRNA from 1 species